CCCUUAGAUGUUCUGGGCCGCACGCGCGCUACACUGACGAAGUCAGCGAGCAUGUCCUACGCCGACAGGUGCGGGGAAUCUUGUCAAACUUCGUCGUGAUGGGGAUUGAUUUUUGAAAUUCUUGAUCAUAAACGAGGAAUUCCUAGUAAGCGCAAGCCAGCAGCUUGCGUUGAUUACGUCCCUGCCCUUUGUACACACCGCCCGUCGCUACUACCGAUUGAAUGGUUUAGUGAGAUCUUCGGAUUGGCGCCACUGCAGCUCAGCAAUGGGCUUGGUGGAUGCCGAAAAGUUGAUCAAACUUGAUCAUUUAGAGGAAGUAAAAGUCGUAACA
rnacentral:rRNA from 1 species